rnacentral:lncRNA from 1 species
AGAAAACAACAACAACAAAAAUCAAAACAGGAAAAAAAAUCUCUAUAGCUUGUUACAGGGACAACUCCACUACAGUUAUUUAAAAUUGAAGACAGAUGGUCUUGAGACAAUGCAAACAAGAACAGCUGAUCAGCUUCAGCAACUGUUUCUGAACAUCUGCCAGAUCUGUUCCAUGUGCAGUUGGUUUCUGCUGAUAAUCCAUGUUCCGAAAGGUACCCACACCUCACCAAACUGAUGCGAGAAAGAUGUUGCUAACACUAAGGGGCCAAACCAGUUGCCCAAACAUAAGUGUCUAGAGCCACUUGAGACACUCUCAGGACCCUGAGGCACCUGUACAGAUCUUGCAAUUUAUGAUAACCUGUGAGGAACAUGCUGUCCUUCAUGUAAUAAGAAGAUACCAUAUGAACUCAAACGGGUUUAUACACAGGCAUCUGAGCCAAGAUGGACUGGAUGCCAUCGUGGAGUAG